CGUCUCGAAAAUUCAGCGGAUCGCAAGCGACCAGCCUGUCCGGCGGCGGGUCGUGAGUUAAAUCAAAUGACGUGACUAAGCAUGUAGUACUGUCUGUGGAGGACUUGCGGACGCGGGUUCAAUUCCCGCCAGCUCCACCA
rnacentral:tmRNA from 2 species